CUAGCUCUCAACCUCAGCAUCAUGGUAGAGGACCUGUCCGGCUCACGGCAUCUCUGACUCGACCAGAUGAUAGAGAGCUCGUGCACAUUCAGAGCCACUCGAUCAUUCAAUAAUUGAUGCCAGGAUCGGUGAAUGAGUUUUCCAGUUAGCCGUUGGAGGUUCAUGAUGCUGCAUGGGAGAUGUUCGUGUCAUACUAUCGAUUUGAGACUCUUAAGGAUGAGGAGGCCAGCCAUCGGACCUUCGAAGAGGUUGCCAUACAUAGGCUUCGGGAUGGGCUAUACCACCUCAGGCAGGUGGCCAUUGAGUUCUCUAGUUCUGAGUCACCAUCGGACUGAAAGUCUUUCAUGGAUCAUUUGAUACGGGCGGACGUAUGGAAGGCCCUUUGUGAUAUAUGGAGUAGUAAGGAGUACUCCGAUAGAUGGUAGAAAGCCCGACAGAGUCAGACUGCCCAAUAGGAUCUGAUCAAGCACACCGGCGGCUCCAUUGGCAUACUUGUUAUAGCAGAUAGAUUGAUAAAAAUUUUAAACUUAUAUUAAUCUCAUAUUUAGUUGAUCAUAUGUUAGUUUUUAUUAACUUGAUUUCUUUAUUUAUUGUAGACAUAAUAGCUGGAUCAUGUACCACGGUAGUUGCAGUUGUGGGA